rnacentral:lncRNA from 10 species
CAGUGGCCCUGGGACCAGCUCUGCUCCUUGCACCCCGCUCCCUGCCUGGACACAGGCUCACUCGCUGCCUUCUUCUGGGGGAAACCAGCUUCUUGCCAGCCACAGCUGCUGCCUCCGCCACUGGCCACCGCCCCUGUCCUGGGAGUCCCUUGGCCCAGACACCCACCUGACUUAGUGGCUCCUCUGCAGGAAAGGUGGCUGCCCCCUGCGUUCCUCCAUCCAACCAUGAGCUGGUGCCCAUCACCACUGAGAAUGCACCAAAGAAUGUAGUGGACAAGGGAGAAGGAGCCUCCCGGGGUGGAAACACACGGAAAAGCCUCGAGGACAACGCUGGGCCUCAGCCUUUGGUGCUGCCUCCAUCUAAGCGAGAUCCAGAGCUCAUUCAUCA